rnacentral:rRNA from 1 species
GAUGAACGCUAGCGGAAUGCUUUACACAUGCAAGUCGAACGGCAGCACGGACUUCGGUCUGGUGGCGAGUGGCGAACGGGUGAGUAAUGUAUCGGAACGUGCCCAGUCGUGGGGGAUAACGUAGUGAAAAUUACGCUAAUACCGCAUACGCUCUAUGGAUGAAAGCGGGGGAUCGCAAGACCUCGCGCGAUUGGAGCGGCCGAUAUCAGAUUAGGUAGUUGGUGGGGUAAAGGCCCACCAAGCCAACGAUCUGUAGAUGGUCUGAGAGGACGACCAGCCACACUGGAACUGGGGCGCGGUCCAGACUCCUACGGGAGGCAGCAGUGGGGGAUUUUGGACAAUGGGCGAAAGCCUGAUCCAGCCAUUCCGCGUGCAGGAUGAAGGCCCUCGGGUUGUAAACUGCUUUUGUACAGAACGAAAAGGUUUCUACUAAUACUAGGAGCUCAUGACGGUACUGUAAGAAUAAGCACCGGCUAACUACGUGCCAGCCGCCGCGGUAA